UGGGGAAUAUUGGACAAUGGGCGCAAGCCUGAUCCAGCCAUGCCGCGUGAGUGACGAAGGCCUUAGGGUUGUAAAGCUCUUUUGGCGGGGAAGAUAAUGACGGUACCUGCAGAAUAAGCCCCGGCUAACUUCGUGCCAGCAGCCGCGGUAAUACGAAGGGGGCUAGCGUUGUUCGGAAUUACUGGGCGUAAAGCGCACGUAGGCGGAUUGAUAAGUUAGAGGUGAAAUCCCGGGGCUCAACCUCGGAACUGCCUUUGAUACUGUUAGUCUCGAGUCCGAUAGAGGUGAGUGGAAUUCCUAGUGUAGAGGUGAAAUUCGUAGAUAUUAGGAAGAACACCAGUGGCGAAGGCGGCUCACUGGAUCGGUACUGACGCUGAGGUGCGAAAGCGUGGGGAGCAAACAGGAUUAGAUACCCAUGUAGUCCCUGAGCGGGCUGGCAAGGCGCAU
rnacentral:rRNA from 1 species